UCGCACAAAUAACCAGUUUUCAGUUAGCAUUUAGAUAUAUAUAAAAUUACAGAAUUCUUUUUAGGGAAUACUACAUUGGAAAUACUACUGAAAGCUUUCUACACAAAUUAUUAUCCAUAUUGUAGUGAGUGAUAUUAAUUCCUAAACUAAGCAGAAUUAAGACUAGGCCAAGAGCCAGAAAUUCUUCUGCCAUCUAGUGCUGAUAAGGUAUCCUCCCAUGCCUUUGCUUUGCUUCCUUACUCCAAUUGUCAAGCAAUCCAAUGUGUUGAUGCAUUGUUCCACAAAUUCCUCUUCACUGCUUGGCCCACAGAGACUGUAGUAGUAGAGUUGCAAAAUUAAAGGAAAAAUCCAUCAUGUAAAAAACAUUGUUUCACAAAUUCCUCUUCACUGCUUGGCCCACAGAGACUGUAGUAGUAGAGUUGCAAAAUUAAAGGAAAAAUCCAUCAUGUAAAAAAUGAAGAGUUUGAAAAUUAGUCUUUUUUAUGUGAAUGGAGAAUAUAUAUUCAGUACCAGGUAAGUAGAGAAG
rnacentral:lncRNA from 1 species